GACGAACGCUGGCGGCGUGCUUAACACAUGCAAGUCGAACGGAAAGGCCCUGCUUGUAGGGUGCUCGAGUGGCGAACGGGUGAGUAACACGUGGGUGAUCUGCCCCUUAUUUUGGGAUAAGCCUGGGAAACUGGGUCUAAUACUGGAUAGGACCAUGCUGUAGGUGGUGUGGUGGAAAGAUUAAUUUCGGUAAGGGAUGAGCUCGCGGCCUAUCAGCUUGUUGGUGGGGUAAUGGCCUACCAAGGCGUCGACGGGUAGCCGGCCUGAGAGGGUGGACGGCAACAUUGGGACUGAGAUACGAGCCAGACUCCUACGAGAGGCAGCAGUGGGGAAUAUUGCACAAUGGGAGCAAGCCUGAUGCAGCGACGCCGCGUGGGGGAUGACGGCCUUCGGGUUGUAAACUCCUUUCGGCCAUGACGAAGCCCUUGUGGUGACGGUAGUGGUAGAAGAAGCACCGGCUAACUACGUG
rnacentral:rRNA from 1 species